rnacentral:rRNA from 1 species
GACGAACGCUGGCGGCGUGCCUAACACAUGCAAGUCGAACGGAGUGUUUAUUUAUAAACACUCAGUGGCGAACGGGCGAGUAACGCGUAGACAAACUACCCUCUAGAUGGGGACAACACCGCGAAAGUGGCGCUAAUACCGAAUGAUGUAAUGUUGUUGCAUAACGAUCUUACUAAAGGCGGCCUCGAUAUAUAAGCUACCGCAAGAAGAUGGGUCUGCGUCGGAUGAGCGAGUUGGUGAGAUAACAGCUCACCAAGGCAAUGAUCAGUAGCGCGUCUGGGAGGAUGAACGGCCACACUGGGGGUGAGACACGGCCCAGACUCCUGCAGGGGGCAGCAGUGGAGAAUCUUCCGCAAUGGACGAAAGUCUGACGGAGCAACGCCGCGUGAGUGAAGAAGGUUUUCGGAUCGUAAAGCUAUGUCUUCAAGGGCGAAUGUAAAGCUUGUGAAUAAUGAUAUGUAAUGACGGUACUUGAGGAGGAAGCCACGGCUAACUACGUGCCAGCCGCCGCUGUAA